CCCUUAGAUGUUCUGGGCUGCACGCGCGCUACACUGAUGCACUCAACGAGUUUACGACCUUGCCCGAUAGGGUUGGGUAAUCUUUUUAAAAGGCAUCGUGAUGGGGAUAGAUUAUUGCAAUUAUUAAUCUUCAACGAGGAAUUCCUAGUAAGCGCGAGUCAUCAGCUCGUGCUGAUUACGUCCCUGCCCUUUGUACACACCGCCCGUCGCUCCUACCGAUUGAGUGCUCAGGUGAAUAAUUCGGACUGCAGCAAUGUUUGGAUCCCGAACGUUGCAGCGGAAAGUUUAGUGAACCUUAUCACUUAGAGGAAGGAGAAGUCGUAACA
rnacentral:rRNA from 1 species